GAUCGAAAUUCCCUACCGGCGGUUAUAGUCCGCGACCCGCGCAAGGCGGCUGAUUUGGUGAAAUUCCAAAACCGACAGUAUAGUCUGGAUGAGAGAAGA
rnacentral:ncRNA from 1 species